UCUUCCCGUCUUCAACCUUGCAGUCUCAGCUUACUUUUGCCUGCAAACACUAUGAUUUCUUCCUUUAACUCUUAACCUCCCAUUUCGUUCAACGUAUUCCUCUUAAUUUCGCCAAUAAAUGUUAUUCUCAUUUAACACAAUCACGAUGACGACCUCUCCGUUUCCUUCACUUGAAGCUAUAAAUUGGAGAGAGUUGAGAGUUUGAUGAAUCAUCACAACAACUCUCAGUUAAUCUUCAUGUUGCAAGAUUCUUCGUAAAUAUCUUCUUCCGAUGUUGUUAUUGGGCAAUCAACCUUCGACGCCCUCCGACUCAGUAGAUCUUUCCACUUCGUUGUUGCUCGGCUUCUCUGUUAUUGGGACUCGAAAAACAUCAAGAAGCAUGGUGAAUUCAUGGGAAUCACUCUACCUCUCUUCAAUGAGAAGAUGGAAAGAUCACUGCUUUAAAGGAAUUACAAGGUCACAUAUGGAGAACAGGUUUCGAAUGUCAUGAACUGAAAUCUGUUGUUUUCGAGGAUGUACCAGAGGCUUUGGAGAAAUGGCAUUCUUCUGGAAUAAAGAAACAAGAAAGAAAGCAAGAGUUACAAGGAGAUUACAGAAACAUUGGGAGUGGAUGAUCCUUCAGAGAUUAUUUUUGUGACAGAUGUUUAUCAAGAAGCUACUGCUGCAAAAACUGCAGGUCUGGAGGCGAUCAUAUUGAUUCUACCUGGUAACGUAUCCUUUCCAGAGAAUCAUGAGCUCAAGACUGUCUCUUCAUUCUUCCAAAUCUAGAGUAUGUUUCAUAUGGUGUUGCAUUUGACAUGAGCACAGUUACCAAAUAUAUCUCCGCUCAAUGGACGCUAUGAAACCUGGUGCAGACUGUCACAAGCCUGGCAUGGAAGUGUCCUGCACGACGUGUAUUAACUACGAUUUAGUGUGCAAGUUUGUGUACUUGAUCGUGGAGUUCGACCCAACAGUUGCAAAUCCAUCUCAGAGCAAUUUCCCCAUUUCUGUUUUUGUUUGCGUGACUCAAUCUUUUGUUUGUUUUUAUUUAUAUAUUUAAAUAUUCCCACUAACUAUAAAAGAUUAAUUACUUCAGGGACUA